rnacentral:rRNA from 1 species
ACUCCUACGGGAGGCGAGCAGGUAGGGAUAUUGCACAAUGGGGGAAACCCUGAUGCAGCCAUGCCGCGUGUGUGAAGAAGGCCUUCGGGUUGUAAAGCACUUUCAGUAGGGAGGAAGGUAGUGUAGUUAACACCUGCAUUAUUUGACGUUACCUACAGAAGAAGCACCGGCUAACUCCGUGCCAGCAGCCGCGGUAAUACGGAGGGUGCGAGCGUUAAUCGGAAUUACUGGGCGUAAAGCGCAUGCAGGCGGCCUGUUAAGUCAGAUGUGAAAGCCCGGGGCUUAACCUCGGAAUUGCAUUUGAAACUGGCAGGCUAGAGUCUUGUAGA